rnacentral:rRNA from 1 species
UUGAACGCUGGCGGCAUGCUUUACACAUGCAAGUCGAACGGCAGCGCGGGCUUCGGCCUGGCGGCGAGUGGCGAACGGGUGAGUAAUACAUCGGAACGUGCCCAGUAGUGGGGGAUAGCUCGGCGAAAGCCGGAUUAAUACCGCAUACGACCUGAGGGUGAAAGCGGGGGAUCUUCGGACCUCGCGCUAUUGGAGCGGCCGAUGGCAGAUUAGCUAGUUGGUGGGGUAAAGGCCUACCAAGGCGACGAUCUGUAGCUGGCCUGAGAGGACGACCAGCCACACUGGGACUGAGACACGGCCCAGACUCCUACGGGAGGCAGCAGUGGGGAAUUUUGGACAAUGGGCGAAAGCCUGAUCCAGCAAUGCCGCGUGUGUGAUGAAGGCCUUCGGGUUGUAAAGCACUUUUGGCGGGAACGAAAAGGACUGUGCCAAUACCACGGUUCGAUGACGGUACCCGCAGAAUAAGCACCGGCUAACUACGUG